rnacentral:rRNA from 1 species
UACGAAGGGUGCAAGCGUUGUUCGGAAUUACUGGGCGUAAAGCGCGCGCAGGCGGUCUUCCAAGUCAGUGGUGAAAGCCCGGAGCUCAACUCCGGAACUGCCAUUGAAACUGUUAGACUUGAGGAUGAGAGAGGUGAGUGGAAUUCCCAGUGUAGAGGUGAAAUUUGUAGAUAUUGGGAAGAACACCGGUGGCGAAGGCGGCUCACUGGCUCAUUUCUGACGCUCAGGCGCGACAGCGUGGGGAUCAAACAGG